GGUUAAGCGACUAAGCGUACACGGUGGAUGCCCUGGCAGUCAGAGGCGAUGAAGGACGUGCUAAUCUGCGAUAAGCGUCGGUAAGGUGAUAUGAACCGUUAUAACCGGCGAUUUCCGAAUGGGGAAACCCAGUGUGUUUCGACACACUAUCAUUAACUGAAUCCAUAGGUUAAUGAGGCGAACCGGGGGAACUGAAACAUCUAAGUACCCCGAGGAAAAGAAAUCAACCGAGAUUCCCCCAGUAGCGGCGAGCGAACGGGGAGCAGCCCAGAGCCUGAAUCAGUGUGUGUGUUAGUGGAAGCGUCUGGAAAGGCGCGCGAUACAGGGUGACAGCCCCGUACACAAAAAUGCACAUGCUGUGAGCUCGAUGAGUAGGGCGGGACACGUGGUAUCCUGUCUGAAUAUGGGGGGACCAUCCUCCAAGGCUAAAUACUCCUGACUGACCGAUAGUGAACCAGUACCGUGAGGGAAAGGCGAAAAGAACCCCGGCGAGGGGAGUGAAAAAGAACCUGAAACCGUGUACGUACAAGCAGUGGGAGCACGCUUAGGCGUGUGACUGCGUACCUUUUGUAUAAUGGGUCAGCGACUUAUAUUCUGUAGCAAGGUUAACCGAAUAGGGGAGCCGAAGGGAAACCGAGUCUUAACUGGGCGUUAAGUUGCAGGGUAUAGACCCGAAACCCGGUGAUCUAGCCAUGGGCAGGUUGAAGGUUGGGUAACACUAACUGGAGGACCGAACCGACUAAUGUUGAAAAAUUAGCGGAUGACUUGUGGCUGGGGGUGAAAGGCCAAUCAAACCGGGAGAUAGCUGGUUCUCCCCGAAAGCUAUUUAGGUAGCGCCUCGUGAAUUCAUCUCCGGGGGUAGAGCACUGUUUCGGCAAGGGGGUCAUCCCGACUUACCAACCCGAUGCAAACUGCGAAUACCGGAGAAUGUUAUCACGGGAGACACACGGCGGGUGCUAACGUCCGUCGUGAAGAGGGAAACAACCCAGACCGCCAGCUAAGGUCCCAAAGUCAUGGUUAAGUGGGAAACGAUGUGGGAAGGCCCAGACAGCCAGGAUGUUGGCUUAGAAGCAGCCAUCAUUUAAAGAAAGCGUAAUAGCUCACUGGUCGAGUCGGCCUGCGCGGAAGAUGUAACGGGGCUAAACCAUGCACCGAAGCUGCGGCAGCGACGCUGAUGCGUUGUUGGGUAGGGGAGCGUUCUGUAAGCCUGCGAAGGUGUGCUGUGAGGCAUGCUGGAGGUAUCAGAAGUGCGAAUGCUGACAUAAGUAACGAUAAAGCGGGUGAAAAGCCCGCUCGCCGGAAGACCAAGGGUUCCUGUCCAACGUUAAUCGGGGCAGGGUGAGUCGACCCCUAAGGCGAGGCCGAAAGGCGUAGUCGAUGGGAAACAGGUUAAUAUUCCUGUACUUGGUGUUACUGCGAAGGGGGGACGGAGAAGGCUAUGUUGGCCGGGCGACGGUUGUCCCGGUUUAAGCGUGUAGGCUGGUUUUCCAGGCAAAUCCGGAAAAUCAAGGCUGAGGCGUGAUGACGAGGCACUACGGUGCUGAAGCAACAAAUGCCCUGCUUCCAGGAAAAGCCUCUAAGCAUCAGGUAACAUCAAAUCGUACCCCAAACCGACACAGGUGGUCAGGUAGAGAAUACCAAGGCGCUUGAGAGAACUCGGGUGAAGGAACUAGGCAAAAUGGUGCCGUAACUUCGGGAGAAGGCACGCUGAUAUGUAGGUGAAGUCCCUUGCGGAUGGAGCUGAAAUCAGUCGAAGAUACCAGCUGGCUGCAACUGUUUAUUAAAAACACAGCACUGUGCAAACACGAAAGUGGACGUAUACGGUGUGACGCCUGCCCGGUGCCGGAAGGUUAAUUGAUGGGGUCAGCGCAAGCGAAGCUCUUGAUCGAAGCCCCGGUAAACGGCGGCCGUAACUAUAACGGUCCUAAGGUAGCGAAAUUCCUUGUCGGGUAAGUUCCGACCUGCACGAAUGGCGUAAUGAUGGCCAGGCUGUCUCCACCCGAGACUCAGUGAAAUUGAACUCGCUGUGAAGAUGCAGUGUACCCGCGGCAAGACGGAAAGACCCCGUGAACCUUUACUAUAGCUUGACACUGAACAUUGAGCCUUGAUGUGUAGGAUAGGUGGGAGGCUUGGAAGUGUGGACGCCAGUCUGCAUGGAGCCGACCUUGAAAUACCACCCUUUAAUGUUUGAUGUUCUAACGUUGACCCGUAAUCCGGGUUGCGGACAGUGUCUGGUGGGUAGUUUGACUGGGGCGGUCUCCUCCUAAAGAGUAACGGAGGAGCACGAAGGUUGGCUAAUCCUGGUCGGACAUCAGGAGGUUAGUGCAAUGGCAUAAGCCAGCUUGACUGCGAGCGUGACGGCGCGAGCAGGUGCGAAAGCAGGUCAUAGUGAUCCGGUGGUUCUGAAUGGAAGGGCCAUCGCUCAACGGAUAAAAGGUACUCCGGGGAUAACAGGCUGAUACCGCCCAAGAGUUCAUAUCGACGGCGGUGUUUGGCACCUCGAUGUCGGCUCAUCACAUCCUGGGGCUGAAGUAGGUCCCAAGGGUAUGGCUGUUCGCCAUUUAAAGUGGUACGCGAGCUGGGUUUAGAACGUCGUGAGACAGUUCGGUCCCUAUCUGCCGUGGGCGCUGGAGAACUGAGGGGGGCUGCUCCUAGUACGAGAGGACCGGAGUGGACGCAUCACUGGUGUUCGGGUUGUCAUGCCAAUGGCACUGCCCGGUAGCUAAAUGCGGAAGAGAUAAGUGCUGAAAGCAUCUAAGCACGAAACUUGCCCCGAGAUGAGUUCUCCCUGACUCCUUGAGAGUCCUGAAGGAACGUUGAAGACGACGACGUUGAUAGGCCGGGUGUGUAAGCGCAGCGAUGCGUUGAGCUAACCGGUACUAAUGAACCGUGAGGCUUAACCUU
rnacentral:rRNA from 1 species